rnacentral:rRNA from 1 species
AUUGAACGCUGGCGGCAGGCCUAACACAUGCAAGUCGAGCGGAUGAAGGGAGCUUGCUCCUGGAUUCAGCGGCGGACGGGUGAGUAAUGCCUAGGAAUCUGCCUGGUAGUGGGGGAUAACGUCCGGAAACGGGCGCUAAUACCGCAUACGUCCUGAGGGAGAAAGUGGGGGAUCUUCGGACCUCACGCUAUCAGAUGAGCCUAGGUCGGAUUAGCUAGUUGGUGGGGUAAAGGCCUACCAAGGCGACGAUCCGUAACUGGUCUGAGAGGAUGAUCAGUCACACUGGAACUGAGACACGGUCCAGACUCCUACGGGAGGCAGCAGUGGGGAAUAUGGGACAAUGGGCGAAAGCCUGAUCCAGCCAUGCCGCGUGUGUGAAGAAGGUCUUCGGAUUGUAAAGCACUUUAAGUUGGGAGGAAGGGCAGUAAGUUAAUACCUUGCUGUUGUGACGUUACCAACAGAAUAAGCACCGGCUAACUUCG